GGGCUGUGGAAGUUGAGAUCAAUAAAGCCAUUAGCAAAGUAUAAAAACAUAACUAGCAAAGUAUAACCAAAGUGUUUCCGCAACAAAAUCAUAACAAAAACAGCAAAACACCAUUUAGAACAGGGACUAUUAUAAAUUCAUACACCUGAUAACUGAAAAAUUAAACAAUGUCUUAAACCAACAAAAAGACUCGUCAAAACUACUUUAGAACAGCAACUGAGGAUGUCAGCCCAACAAUUCUGCCAAGCAAUCUCAGACUGCAGCGGCCUUCUUUGAUUUCUUUUGCGGUCUGCACAAAAGAUAUUCGUUUAAACAAUCAUGCAUAGCAGGGGGGAAGGUAGUAAAAUACAUUGUAAGAAUAAAUUAUAAUACUCACUGGGUCUGGGUUGGCUUUGUUGCAGCAACAGGUGCAGCACUAGGAGCUUCUGCUGGCUUCUCUCCUCCAGGACCCUAAAUAUUUUACAAAGAAAAGGCAAAAUCUCCAUUAAUAAUUUCAAAAAGAAUGCUUGUUAAUAUACUAAAUCCUCAAAUCAUAUACAUUAAUACUGUCAAAGAAUUUCAAGAAAUCAUAGGUUAACUCACUUGAGCAAAACGCUCCUCCCUCCUAGCAUGCUUCCUCUCACGGCUGGCCUUGUUCUUGGCACGUUUGGCCUCAAACUGGUCAGACAAGGUCUUUUCUCUAGCCUUCUCAGCUUUGGACUUGUGAAUGCUCUCCAUCAGAACUCUCUUAUUCUUAAACACAUUACCCUUAACCUUCAUGUACAUGUCAUGGUACAUGUGCUUGUCAAUCUUCUUAGCCUCACGGUACUUGCGGAGCAAACGUCUGAGAACACGCAUUCUCCUCAUCCAAAGGAUCUUUGUGGGAAGCCUUGCCUCUCUGGUACCCUUCCUCUUACCUAUGCACAUUCAGACAAACACAACAAACAAUCACUCAUUAUAUCUCUAGAUGAUCAGACAGGAACUCAAUUUGAGCCAGUCCACAAAUGUAAAUUCAGUAUUUCUCAUAUUUUACAAAACAACAAGGCUUAAUAUCCAAUUGAUGAGCAACUCACAUCUUAGUAAUUUAAUGACGAAAAAUAACUGUUAAUGAUACUUAAAUGAUACAUUUUGUUGUUUAAAGGCUAUUUUUCGAUUAUUAGAUAGAAACUAAUGAAUCUAAGACAAUGGCUUUAGAACACAAAAGAGAGAUAAAUACAAAUGAUAAUUUUUUAUGAUAAUCAUAAACAAACACAGUAAGCUACUGAAUUUCUUACAAAUCACUAAAACAGUAAAUUAUUUUAGAUCAAAUAAAUUUUAUUUUAAGGACAGAUUCUUAAAUACAAAAUCACUUGUUAGAAUUAUAAGCAAACAAAAUGGCUACGAAUUUCUUAUAAAUCUCUAAACUAAAAUCAUUUUAUAUGAAAAUUACUUAGUUUUAGUGUAUAACAAAACAUAACAAGAAUUGAUAUAAAAUGAAGCUAAUCAAGGUUAUGGGGAAUGAAAAUACCAUAUCCAGAGUGUCUUCCUUUCCUCUUAGCUUCCUUCAUUCUACGAGCACGGGACCUGGAGUGAAUCUUGGUGGGUUUCCUGAUUAUAAACCCAUCCUUAACCAGCUUCCUUAUGUUUUGGCCUGCAAAAUCAAAAUCCAAUCAUAAAUCUUAAACAGUACUUUCAAUUUGGAUCUAAACAAAUAACGAAUCGAAAUAGCUUACGAGAAUUAGCCAUGGAGAUUUCGUUAACUUCAUUUGGAUCAAGCCAAACUUUGCCACGACCGCACUUAAGAACGCUGGAAGCGAGGCGCUUUUGCAAUUUGAGGGAGACCAUGUUUGGGUUGGUUGCUUGUUUCUGACUG
rnacentral:lncRNA from 1 species